rnacentral:rRNA from 1 species
UGCCAGCCGCCGCGGUAAUACGGAGGGGGCUAGCGUUGUUCGGAAUUACUGGGCGUAAAGCGCACGUAGGCGGAUCAGUCAGUCAGAGGUGAAAUCCCGGAGCUCAACUUCGGAACUGCCUUUGAUACUGCUGGUCUAGAGUCCGGGAGAGGUGCAUGGAAUUCCGAGUGUAGAGGUGAAAUUCGUAGAUAUUCGGAGGAACACCAGAGGCGAAGGCGGCUUUCUGGACCGAUACUGACGCUGAGACGCAAAAGCGUGGGGAGCAAACAGGAUUAGAUA